UGCCCAAUGAGGCCAUUGCAGUGAAGCGGACACGGUCAUAAUUAAAUCAUUAUAGACGAAAUAUCUAUAAAUUUGAGUACUUUGGGGCAAACUGACCAUUCGAAUAAAACCAGCACGUCCACGAACUGACCACCUGAAGUAAAUUUUCGGCUGGGAAACAGUACAAUAUUCAAGAAUGGCUCUGCGAAUGUUCAUGAUGUUCCUGCUUGUAGUCGGCUUCGUCGUCGCCGCUCCUCCUCGAGGCGAAGAUGCGCUCUUCGGUGGAAUGGAAGUUUCUGGGCAAACUAGAAACAUCUUUAAAGAAGCUAAACGGUUUGAAGAUUGCUUUUGCAUCACUCUUGGAGGAGAAAAGAUCUGCGAUCCUUAUGGAUGUGGAAAUUAGAUGAAGGAUCGAGAAUGUGGAGCAUAACAAAGACAGGGGCUACAGAUGAUCAUGAAUAUAAUAACAAUAAUAAUGACAAUAAUUAAAAAUAAAAGCCGUAGCAGUUGAUGUCUCCUUCAUAAUAUGGCUACGAGUGUCUCAUUCCUCUCAUAUAGCUG